CACACACCCACAUAAAAUAUAUAUAUAAAGAGAGAGAGAAAGAGAAAAGGGUUAUGUGAAAAGUUCUUAAAUUGCUGUGUUUAAUCGAACUUCAUCUUGUCUUGCAUAUCAUAUUGCUCGGUACAUCUCUGCACAACAUGUUCAAACUGUUUGUGUUGGCCACAGUAGUGCUCUACUGUAACGGCUGCUUCUCUCCCAAUUUAGACCUCACGGAUGACGGAUGUGUUGACGUGGAUGGAGCUAUCCACAACUAUGACACUUCCUGGGAGGAUGGAACUUACACCUGUGUAUGUUUCACCACAGGGCCCAAGUGUUGCCCAAGUGAAGGUGAUGUAUUCUGAGGAUGAAAAACGAUUCUGGAGGUUUCUGGACAGGAUUCUGAUUACAUGAGUUUCAAAAUAAAGUUAAAGUUAAAUAAAAGUAAUAUACAUGUUUGACCAUACAUUGUGUUUUUGUGAAAAUACAGUAAAAUAUCAAACAUAAUAUUAAACAUAUCCGUAAAUAUUUUGCUCUGAUAUUACAGAUUAUUAGAUUGAUUAUUUGUUCUUGCCACAAUCAGAGAAAAUAAAAUGUCAGCAAUGCA